UAGAUACCGCCUAUUCAUGAUAUAAAAUAAAGUUGAAUAUUACGAACAACAGUUUAAAAUUCAAAGAUUUUGGCGGUGUCUUAUAAAACCAGGGGAACCUGUCUCAUAACUCGAUAAUCCACGUAUACUCAACCUUCUCUUGACUACAGCAUGUAUACUGCCGUUGUAAGUACACCUUUAAAAGAAAGUGUACUACUAUGAACUCAUAUACAUCAGGUCAAAGUGCAGCUAAUAAGAAGGUGAUGAUGGGUUACAACCCCAAAACAGACUAUCAAAGAAGAAAUAAAAAAUCUUACGAAAGUGGACUUGGCCGUAAUCAAUUUACAAGUUAAAAAAAUGAAUAUAAAUCUAAGACAUGCACACAUCGCCCGUCACUCUAUCCUAAAGGAUAGAUAAGUCGU
rnacentral:rRNA from 1 species